rnacentral:rRNA from 1 species
AGGCUUUGAAGUGUGGACGCCAGUCUGCAUGGAGCCGACCUUGAAAUACCACCCUUUAAUGUUUGAUGUUCUAACGUGGACCCGUUACCCGGGUUGCGGACAGUGUCUGGUGGGUAGUUUGACUGGGGCGGUCUCCUCCUAAAGAGUAACGGAGGAGCACGAAGGUUGGCUAAUCCUGGUCGGACAUCAGGAGGUUAGUGCAAUGGCAUAAGCCAGCUUGACUGCGAGCGUGACGGCGCGAGCAGGUGCGAAAGCAGGUCAUAGUGAUCCGGUGGUUCUGAAUGGAAGGGCCAUCGCUCAACGGAUAAAAGGUACUCCGGGGAUAACAGGCUGAUACCGCCCAAGAGUUCAUAUCGACGGCGGUGUUUGGCACCUCGAUGUCGGCUCAUCACAUCCUGGGGCUGAAGUAGGUCCCAAGGGUAUGGCUGUUCGCCAUUUAAAGUGGUACGCGAGCUGGGUUUAGAACGUCGUGAGACAGUUCGGUCCCUAUCUGCCGUGGGCGCUGGAGAACUGAGGGGGGCUGCUCCUAGUACGAGAGGACCGGAGUGGACGCAUCACUGGUGUUCGGGUUGUCAUGCCAAUGGCACUGCCCGGUAGCUAAAUGCGGAAGAGAUAAGUGCUGAAAGCAUCUAAGCACGAAACUUGCCCCGAGAUGAGUUCUCCCUGAGACUUAGAGUCUCCUGAAGGAACGUUGAAGACGACGACGUUGAUAGGCCGGGUGUGUAAGCGCAGCGAUGCGUUGAGCUAACCGGUACUAAUGAACCGUGAGGCUUAACCUUACAACGCCG